rnacentral:rRNA from 1 species
AGAGUUUGAUCCUGGCUCAGAAUGAACGUUGGCGGCGUGGAUAGGCAUGCAGUCGCGCGACAAGUCUUCUUUAGUUUACUAUUGAAGACGGAGGAGCGGCGAAAGGGUGAGUAACGCGUGGAUACUUACCCCUAGGCCCGGGAUAGCGUCGGGAAACUGGCGGUAAUACCGGAUAACAUCUCCGGAUCAAAGGUGUGAUUCCGCCUAGAGAUGGGUCCGCGUCCUAUUAGUUUGUUGGUGGGGUAAUGGCCUACCAAGGCAAAAUGGGUACCGGGUGUGAGAGCAUGGCCCGGCACACUGGGACUGAGACACUGCCCAGACAUCUACGGGUGGCUGCAGUCGAGAAUCUUCCGCAAUGGGCGCAAGCCUGACGGAGCGACGCCGCGUGCGGGAUGAAGGCCUUCGGGUUGUAAACCGCUGUCAGUGGGGAGCAAAUCCCUAGGAGCUAUCUCCUAGGGUUGAGCGAUCCGCAGAGGAAGCGCAGGCUAAGUUCGUGCCAGCAGCCGCGGUAACACGAACUGCGCAAACGUUAUUCGGAAUCACUGGGCUUAAAGGGUGCGUAGGCGGGUUGGUAGGUGAGGUGUGAAAUCCCACGGCUCAACCGUGGAACUGCGCUUCAAACCACCAAGCUAGAGGGAGAUAGAGGAGAGCGGAACUGAUGGUGGAGCGGUGAAAUGCGUUGAUAUCAUCAGGAACACCGGUGGCGAAAGCGGCUCUCUGGGUCUCUUCUGACGCUGAGGGACGAAAGCUAGGGGAGCGAACGGGAUUAGAUACCCCGGUAGUCCUAGCUGUAAACGAUGAGCACUAGAUCGAGGGGACUCCCACAUCCUCUUGGACGUAGCGAAAGUGUUAAGUGCUCCGCCUCGGGAGUAUGGUCGCAAGGCUGAAACUCAAAGGAAUUGACGGGGGCUC